AAAUUGAAGAGUUUGAUCAUGGCUCAGAUUGAACGCUGGCGGCAGGCCUAACACAUGCAAGUCGAACGGUAACAGGAAGCAGCUUGCUGCUUUGCUGACGAGUGGCGGACGGGUGAGUAAUGUCUGGGAAACUGCCUGAUGGAGGGG
rnacentral:rRNA from 3 species